GGGUGUGAUCAUACCAACGUUAAUGCACCGGAUCCCAUCAGAACUCCGCAGUUAAGCGCGCUUGGGCUAGAGUAGUGCUGGGAUGG
rnacentral:rRNA from 1 species